rnacentral:rRNA from 1 species
GACGAACGCUGGCGGCGUGCUUAACACAUGCAAGUCGAACGGAAAGGCCCUGCUUGCAGGGUACUCGAGUGGCGAACGGGUGAGUAACACGUGGGUGAUCUGCCCUGCACUUCGGGAUAAGCUUGGGAAACUGGGUCUAAUACCGGAUAGGAACCAUCUUUAGUGUGGUGGUUGGAAAGUUUUUUCGGUGUAGGAUGAGCUCGCGGCCUAUCAGCUUGUUGGUGGGGUAAUGGCCUACCAAGGCGGCGACGGGUAGCCGGCCUGAGAGGGUGUACGGCCACAUUGGGACUGAGAUACGGCCCAGACUCCUACGGGAGGCAGCAGUGGGGAAUAUUGCACAAUGGGCGCAAGCCUGAUGCAGCGACGCCGCGUGGGGGAUGAAGGCCUUCGGGUUGUAAACUCCUUUCGCUAGGGACGAAGCUUUGUUGUGACGGUACCUAGAGAAGAAGCACCGGCUAACUACGUG